rnacentral:rRNA from 1 species
AGUGAACGCUGGCGGUAGGCCUAACACAUGCAAGUCGAACGGCAGCACAGGAGAGCUUGCUCUCUGGGUGGCGAGUGGCGGACGGGUGAGGAAUACAUCGGAAUCUACUUUUUCGUGGGGGAUAACGUAGGGAAACUUACGCUAAUACCGCAUACGACCUACGGGUGAAAGCAGGGGACCUUCGGGCCUCGCGCGAUUGAAUGAGCCGAUGUCGGAUUAGCUAGUUGGCGGGGUAAAGGCCCACCAAGGCGACGAUCCGUAGCUGGUCUGAGAGGAUGAUAAGCCACACUGGAACGGAGACACGGUCCAGACUCCUACGGGAGGCAGCAGUGGGGAAUAUUGGACAAUGGGCGCAAGCCUGAUCCAGCCAUACCGCGUGGGUGAAGAAGGCCUUCGGGUUGUAAAGCCCUUUUGUUGGGAAAGAAAUCCAGCUGGCUAAUACCCGGUUGGGAUGACGGUACCCAAAGAAUAAGCACCGGCUAACUUCGUGCCAGCCGCCGCCGUAA